CGGAUCGCUCUCCUAGCACCACCGACCGGCCUAAACCUCUCUGUCGACUCCCUCUCUCUCCCUCCGACCCACCAACACCUGCAGCACCGCACCACCUCUCCAUCAGCGGCACCAAUCCUCUCCAUCACCGCACCACCUCUCCAGCCAAAAAUUGGUCUCCACAAAGUUAGAUUGGGGAUUGAUGCAUGGAGUUGUUUACAGGCUAAGCUGAUCUAUCUAGGGAUGGGUAUCAUUCGGUGACCAGAUGGAGCCCUAAUUGUGUGUGGUUACUGGACCUUUGAUUUUUGGAGCCUAACCAAGUGAAAGAGGAGGGCUGGCUUAGGAUUACUUGAAACUGUUUUGGGACGCCACCUAAUGAGAGCUGGUAAAGAGAUGACUUCUUCUUCUUAACAGACAGGGACGACUGGAAUUCUUUCAAGAUCUUCUGUGUAUGUGUAGAACUUUCUAAUAUAGUAGAGAUCCUAUGUGAACUUUCUAAUAUAGGAAAUUGCCACCUAUUAAGUGGCAUUUCUCUUUUCCUUUGUUAAAGUCCUAUUCUUCGUGAUUUUGGUGCACAUUGACCAAUUAGAAUGUGAACCUUAUUUUCAAGUCAGUUGGGUUCGGGCAUGUAGCCAUAUAAUUAGGAACGUGGGUGCAAUGAGGUAUAUGUGAAUCAUUACGUGAGCUAACGAUCAUUCCCAUUUCAUUU